UGGGGAAUAUUGCACAAUGGGCGCAAGCCUGAUGCAGCGACGCCGCGUGGGGGAUGACGGCCUUCGGGUUGUAAACUCCUUUCGCUAGGGACGAAGCUUUUUGUGACGGUACCUAGAUAAGAAGCACCGGCUAACUACGUGCCAGCAGCCGCGGUAAUACGUAGGGUGCGAGCGUUGUCCGGAAUUACUGGGCGUAAAGGGCUCGUAGGUGGUUUGUCGCGUCGUCUGUGAAAUUCCGGGGCUUAACUCCGGGCGUGCAGGCGAUACGGGCAGAAAUUGAGUACUGUAGGGGUAACUGGAAUUCCUGGUGUAGCGGUGAAAUGCGCAGAUAUCAGGAGGAACACCGAUGGCGAAGGCAGGUUACUGGGCAGUUACUGACGCUGAGGAGCGAAAGAAUGGGUAGCGAAAAGG
rnacentral:rRNA from 1 species